GGUUCAGGAUGAACGCUAGCUACAGGCUUAACACAUGCAAGUCGAGGGGUAGCAGGGUAGCAAUACCGCUGACGACCGGCGCACGGGUGAGUAACACGUAUCCAACCUUCCCAUAACUCAGGGAUAGCCUUUCGAAAGAAAGAUUAAUACCUGAUAGUACUUUUUCAAGGCAUCUUGAGAAAGUUAAAGAUUUAUUGGUUAUGGAUGGGGAUGCGUUCCAUUAGAUAGUUGGUGAGGUAACGGCUCACCAAGUCUUCGAUGGAUAGGGGUUCUGAGAGGAAGGUCCCCCACAUUGGUACUGAGACACGGACCAAACUCCUACGGGAGGCAGCAGUGAGGAAUAUUGGUCAAUGGGCGAGAGCCUGAACCAGCCAAGUAGCGUGAAGGAAUGAAGGUCCUAUGGAUUGUAAACUUCUUUUAUAGUAGAAUAAAGUGAUCCACGUGUGGAUUUUUGUAUGUAUACUAUGAAUAAGGAUCGGCUAACUCCGUGCCAGCCGCCGC
rnacentral:rRNA from 1 species